UACAGACUCAUAAUCCUACUUAGGCUGA
rnacentral:piRNA from 1 species